CGAAGGAAAAAGAGACUUCGGGCAAGAGGAGGAUCUAGGGGAGAAGAGGAAGAGAGGGAGAGAGAGAGAGACUGUGGAGAGCAAAAAACCAGAACGAGAGAGAAACUAGAAAAAGGAAAACCCAGAAAAAGAGAGGAAGAGGGUUUUGGGAAAAGAGAGAAAAAAAGAAGAGAAAAGAAAAAGAGGAAAAGAAAGAGAGGAAGGAAGAAUCUGGGGGAGAGGGGAGAUCGAGUGAGAAGAAACGAAAAAAGUUGCAGCAGAAGUUUUCGUCAUCAGGCUGACGAACUAGCCUGAUUUGGAGCCAAAUUUCUUCUUCGAUUGUGGAUUUUUGAUCGAUCUUUUGGCUUCUAAGCUUUCUUGGGAGACAACAUAAGAAGUUUCAUUACAAAUCUCUUGGAACAAACAGCUAUAAGUUGGUCAGAUCGAGGCUCAAAAUAGCGACUUCAUCAUCACUGAAACCUUCUGUAACAUAAGUUCUUGGGUUUCGUUUUCCAUAACAGCUCGGUUUCUUGAAGCAUCUCAAGUUCGUUUAGCGGUUCUAGUGCUCUCAGGUAAUCAUGGAUUCUUCUCAAUGUAGAUUUAAGACAAAUUUAAAAGAGAUUUGAGCCCCUUGUGCAUGAUUUUUUUUUUCUUUUCUAAGUUUUGUCGUUGCCAAUGGUUGAUGACUGUGGUUAGACUUGGUGCCGUUGUUGUGCUGUUGAUGAGCUUGAAGCUGGUCCCUUUGUUCAUUUAACGUGUAUCUAAAACUAUGAAUGCAAUUUAGAAGCCAUGAACACCUCUUGUGUUUAGUAAUCCGUAUACGUAAUCAUCUCACCUCUUGUGUAUAUGUAAUCUGUAUAGUUAAUGAACUAAAGGUUGUACUUUUGGUCCAUGUUUAUGUGUGUAAUCUGCGUCUGAGAACUCUUAGGAAUGUAAAGUAUAGGAUUCGAGUUUGUGCAAUGUGUUGUCUUGGCUUGAAAGUUUGAUGCUUGCUUGGAUGUUGGUUUCCUCUGUUUGACAUGAAACCAGAAACUGGUGGAAAGUUUUUUGAAUAAACCUGUAAUUUGCAAGCUUUUCCUCAUUCUAGAUUUUCCUUUCUCUUGUAUGCAUAACAUGGUAUCUUGAUGAUGAGCUUAUGGAACUUAAUGAGAACUUGAGGGUUGGAUCCUUGUUGUUGUUAAAAUUUUUUUGCCGCAUAAGGUUGCUGAAGUUCCAAAGCAUCAGGAGUUGCAGAAACUCCUCUUCGAUACUUGCAUGGGAAAAUCAUAAAAUAUUGUGUUUUGACCCCCGGGUUGUUGCUUAAUUCUACUAUAGCCCAAAAAUAUGGAAAAUUAAUCAAUUUUACCGUUUUUGAAAUUCAAUCAUCUUCUCAUGAUUUAACCAUGUUUUAAGUAAGUUUAUUUUCUGGUUUUAGGAGAUAAUUAGUAGAACUCCAUUAAUUUUUAAAGCUUUAUUUUUGACUUCUAAUCUUAGCAAUAAUACUAAUUUGAUGCUUAAAACUUUUAUAAUUAUUUCAAUUAGGUCCUUGCUUGUUUUAAUUUCUUAAAUAUAGGUUGUUUACUUUCAUUUAAAUGCUUUAAUUGUUCAAUUUCAUGACCAUUUCCACUUCUUUACAUAUUAUUGCUCAUAUUUGUUAAUUAAAAUGGUACAUUGACUACUUUGUUGAUUUUUGGAGCUUUAAAUAGGGUAAAUCUAAACCCAAUUAGCUACUACUUCAAGAGGAGGUAUUUUCUUUUAUUGGUUAAAAAUCCUAUGUGCUCCUAUGUGAUUUUAUGUGUGUAAUUGCAUGUUUUUUGAAUAUUUUUUUUUUAUUUUAUUUCAUUUAUUUAUUUA
rnacentral:lncRNA from 1 species